UCAAUCCGUGGGGAAGAAGUGGCGCAGGCAGGAGAGGCCGGGCCUGGAAGGGGCAGGAAAGAGAGGGUGCUUCAGGACUGUACCCAAGGGAAAAGCAAGCAUGGAAAGGCGCUUUGCCCGGUGUGUAGGGCCCUUGAACACCAGAUUGAGGAAGGCUCCUUUCGUAGGCAGCGUGGAGCCCCCGACCAGGUUAGAGCAAGGGCGCCAGCAGUCGGAGCUGGACUUAGGCCGCGCCCCCUGGUGGCCAGAAGGGGUGAGACAGGAGGCCGGAGGCGCGGGCUGCAGUGGUCCAGCAGAGAGGAGGCCGGGCGAAUGAUGUAAUGAGUCAGGAGACUGGAGUCCCUGCCCGCCCUGCCACCCGUGGGCUGUGUGACCUUGGGCAAGGCACUUCCCCUCUCCAGGCUUCUGGAGAGGAAAGGAGCCUGAUUUUCAGCUCUGAUGUCCCAUGACCCUGGAUACCGGAGCCAGGUGGGAGUAGGCAGUGGACCCCGGAAGGAACCGGCAGAUCAGAGGGGAGAGGUGGGCAUUUAGUUUGGCGCUCUGUGCUGGACACCUCAAACAAAUGACUUGGAAGCUAUUGUCCCAGUUUCACAGACAAGGACACCUCAACACGGAGAAGGUGUACAACAUCAUGCUCUGGUAUCUGUACGUACUGCAGAAUGAUCGCCACAGUUUGUUUGUUUAACGGAGGUGCUGGGGAUUGAACCAGGACCUCGUGCAUGCUAGGCACGUGAUCUGCCCCUGAACUCCACCCUCCCCGCUGAAGGUGACUGUCUUUAAAGCGAAUACAAAUUUUUGGGGUCUCCUCCCCACUACCUAAAGCACGCCAGUGAGGAGUUGUUCAUCAGGUGAACACUACGAGCCAUCAGUACAGGGAAAACCUAUGCAGCCCUCAAAAGGCUGGAGCCUCUGUGCAUGACUGAUGAGGGACAAUUUCCAAGAUAUUUUGGGUAGUGGAAAAGGCAAGGUGCAGUACAGGAUAUGGGUGGUACUUUUUAGGUUAAAAAGAGGGGGUACAAGGUGCAGGCUGGUUUGUGCCUGUAUUACCUCUGACAAAGCUUAAGAAACUGGUAUAGCGGUGCCGUGGGGAAGGGUGUGGGGAACUGGGGGCCACAGUGCAAAGGAGACUGACUGGCUUUUCACAGAGAUGUUCCAUUUAAAUAUUUUUUGUGCUCUGUGCAUGUAUCGCCUUUUUUUUUUUUAAAGAAUCAUUUCUGAGACUGGACAGGGAGUAGGGGCUGGCAUCUAGGACCUGCUCUGACACUGGCUGGGGUGACUCCUGGAUGCCCUCAUGGAGGCUGAUUUCCCUCCAAGCCUCAAGGUGCCCCUGACCUGGCAGGCAGGAAGGCUGAGAUAAGGCAGGUGCCAAGUCUCCUUGCAGCACUGACGCCCUCCCAGCCCCAGACCCUCCUCGCUGGAAGAGCUGACCUGACAUGAAUUGGCAGCUGGGAGGUGGGGGUACUCAGCUGGUGGUGAGCGGAGGCUGGGGGCUUGCACAACUUCUGCGCUCUUUCCAGCGCCUUCUCCCACUCACAGUGCCCUGCCUGGGAACUCUUGCUUCAUACUUCCUCUCCAGAUCACCCCUGCAAAGCUCCCGUCUGGGUGGGAGACACAGCACCGUGCACCCGUGUGGGCUGAGAUGUCAGCGUGGGCCAAGCCUCGUGCAGGGAACCGGACCACUCACCCCACCCAGGGAUCAGCCCUGCCCACAAUCCCGCUCCCUCCCCACCGCCUCUCUGGCCCACCCCCAGUCACUACCCAGAAUGUUCUGUGGCUCCCCAGUGCCCACCAAACCAAGGAGACACUCUCUGGCUGGACAUUCAAGGUGCUAUAUUUUCUGGCCUCUAUCCUUCCAGCCCUUCCACCACCCACUACUGUCCCUUAUUUAAAGCAACUUUCAAAAAUACAUUUUUUGGUGGCAGGGAGGGUAGAGCUCAGGGGUAGUGCACGUACUUAGCACACACGAGGUCCUGGGUUCAAUCCCCAGUGCCUCCAUUGAGAAAAUAAAUAAAUAAAUGAACCUAAUAAUCUCCCCACAAAAAGAGAAAAAAAAAAAAGCAUUUUCCAUCACUCCCCUUCCCUGCUCAGAACCCUUCUAUGCUGCCCCAUAACCUGCAGGACAGUCUAAGCUCCUCAGUUUGAUAUCAGAACUAGCUUCUGCCUCCCUGCCUCGCUCCGUCUUCAGCUGUUGCCCCAAAGUCAAGCUAUACUUAAUGUCUUUCGAGCAUACCAUGCAGUUUCACAACACUGUGUAUUUGCACAUACUAUUGUCUCCAUUUCUCAAUAUAUAAAGAGUUCUAACAAAUCAGUAAGAAAAAAACAUGAACUCAAAAUAAAAGUAUCCAGUUGCUCUAACUAGGUAGUUCAGAGAAAAAGAAAACAAAUGGCCUAGAAACCUACAAAAAAAGUAACUUUACUUAUAAAGAGACACACAUCGUAAGGGUGAGAUACCAUUUCACCCACCAAAGUGGCAAAAACUCCUAAUGAAUGCCUUUUGCUAGUUAGCUGAAGUCCAAACCCACCCUUUAGACUGAGCUGCAAAAAUGUCACCUCCUCGAGACAUCCUGGCUCCCACAAUGCCCUGUACACCCUGAGACAGUGCUUAGACCAGAACUAGGCACAGUGCAGAAACUCAGUAAAUGUUAGCUGUUAAUAAUAAAAAUAACCACUGCCAUGCUGUUCUUUAAUCGUCAGCUAAUGAGUCUGUUCCCUGUCCAGGGGUCCCAAGGGCAGGGGUGGAGCUGGAAUCAUCUCUGUUUUGCCAGCAUCAGCUCAGGGCCCAGGAAAUGGCUAAGCAGGGGGAACAGGUGAGGCGCGUGAGGCAGAGGGAAGGCUGGAGCCUGGAGCUGGCCACAGGGCUUCUGUGUUGGGGAGAGGAGGUGCUGCAGGAGAGGGGCAGCGGGAGGCAGGGCCGGGGGUGGGGCAGCCCCAAGCUCGUGAGAAACAUGGCCUGCACACGUCGUGCCCUGCUGUGUCUGCAGGUGCCGAGCUGGGCUCUCCGCCUACACUUUUCAGAGAUGGGUGAUGCUUCCUCCACGUUACAGGUGAGAAAACCUGGGUGGGGGGUGGGGGGGUUAGCAACUACCUAGUCGCUCUGAUUUACUCCACGCAGCCUCCAGGCUUGCGUGUGGGUACUCACAGAGGCCUGGCUUUGGACAUGUGACUUUCCCUACGUAGGCCUCUACCUUCCCAUCUGAGAGACGGCUCUACAGUAAGAGUUUCUCAAACUCAGGAACAGGUGAACCCCUAAGAAAGCAGUUUGUAACAUUCAUCAGACCCCACUUUAAGGCUCACUGCAGCCUAAAUUAAAUGCUGCCACUUUGGAGGACCCCCGAUAACCCCAUGUGCAUAAACACACAGAAAAGGCAGCUGCAGAAACUGGGUGGCAGAACUCAGCUUUCAGAGAGUCGUCCAGGUGACCUGGAACACAUGUCUGCUAAAAUGGGAUGGGGGUAUCAUCUUCAUGAAAAUAACAUCUAAAAAACUAUUGAGGGAUAGUGGGAAUGUUGGUGGGAAUGCAGUUUGGUACAGCCAUUAUGGAGGACAGUAUGGAGGUUCCUUAAAAAACUAAAAAUAGAG